GAUUAACGCGAAGAACCUUACCAGGGCUAGAAAUCCUACUGCACGCCUAGCGAAAGCUAGGAAGCCUUCGAGGGUGUAGGACAGGUGAUGCAUGGCUGUCGUCAGUUCGUGGUUUGAAUCGUUCCCUUCAGUGGGGUAACGAACGCAACCCUCGUUGCCAGUUACAAGUGUCUGGCGAGACUGCCCCCUCACGGGGGAGGAAGGUGAGGAUGACGCCAAGUCAGCAUGUCCCUCUGAUGUCCUGGGCUGCACACGCGCUACAAUCGCCUUUACAAAGGGACGCAAUGCCGCGAGGCGGAGCAAAUCCCCAAAAGAGGCGCCAGUUCGGAUUGGAGUCUGCAACCCGACUCCAUGAAGCCGGAAUGCUAGUAAUCGCGGGUCAGCCACACCGCGGUGAAUACGUUCCCGGGCCUUGUACACACCGAAUCACUAGU
rnacentral:rRNA from 1 species